rnacentral:lncRNA from 1 species
CUACUACAAGGAGCAGAAGGUGCUGGUGGAAGGGGCCGCUAACAACCUGCGCGAGAGCCUCAUGCAGUUCAGCAAGCCGCGCAAGCUGGUCAACACCAUCAACCCGGGGGCCCGCUUCAUGACAACUGCCAUGUACGACGCCCGGGAAGCCAUCAUCCCAGGGUCCGUGUACGACCGCAGCAGCCAGGGCCGGCCCUCAAACAUGUACUUCCAGACCCACGACCAGAUCGGCAUGAUCAGCGCCGGCCCAAGCCACGUGGCCGCCAUGAACAUUCCCAUCCCCUUCAACCUGGUCAUGCCGCCCAUGCCGCCGCCCGGCUACUUCGGACAGGCCAACGGGCCGGCAGCAGGCCGGGGUGCCCCGAAAAGCAAGACCAGUCGUGGGGCGCGCCAGAAGAACCGCUUCGGGCUCCCCGGGCCCAGCCAGACCCCCCUCCCCAGCAGCCAGGCCAGCCAGGACGUGGCAUCGCAGCCCUUCUCGCAGGGCGCGCUGACGCAGGGCUACAUCUCCAUGAGCCAGCCCUCCCAGAUGAGCCAGCCCGGCCUCUCCCAGCCCGAGCUGUCCCAGGACAGCUACCUGGGUGAUGAGUUUAAAUCCCAGAUCGAUGUGGCGCUGUCCCAAGACUCCACGUACCAGGGAGAGCGGGCGUACCAGCACGGCGGGGUGACAGGGCUGUCCCAGUACUAGAAGGCAAGCGUCCUGUGCCUGCCCCCGGGAGGAGUCAGGAGCCGCGGCAGGGGCCCUGGACACGUGGGCCAGCAGUGGUGGGGCCCCUGGGCCCCUGCCUGCUGGGCUCGGUGCCCCCUCUGGCAGCGUGCGGGUCAGGGAGGUGCCGCGGUGCCCUGGGCCUGCCCCUGCGGCUGCUGUCCGUCCCGUCCCAUCCCAUCCCACAGGUGGUGGCGGAAGAGCUAAGCUCCGUGGCUUAGUGCAUCAGCAUCUUAUUCUGGGUAAUAAAAAAUAAAAAUAAAUGGAUACCUGUUUUCCACUGCUAAAACUGAAGCACCACUGUGUGAGCAACAGGAGAGGGAGAGGAGCAGCCGAGGGAGAGGAGCCAAGCAGCGAGCGCCCCUGUGGGCACGCGGCGACGGCAGCGGCGCAGGAGAAGGAGAAGGGAGAGCGGGAGGUGGCAGCCGCAGGAGCCUGUCAGGCCCUGCCCAGCCCGUCACCUGGAGGCGCAGCCCGCCCGCCCGCCGCGCACACCUGGGCCCGCGACCAGGCGGAGGGAGAAGACCCUCAUCUCAGAGUAGCCCUUUCUCUGUUUUUGUUUCUUUCUUUUCUCUUUUAUUGAAAGGGGACUACGUUUUAGCAGGAAAAAACUUCGCAUUUCUGUGCCCUAGCAGGCUCCUGGCGGUGGCCAUGCCAGCCGGGCCCGAGGAGCAUGGCUCCUGGACUGCCCAGGUCCCCUGGCCUGCGUUCUGAGGGGGUUCAUUGAAAGAAAAUACGGUGUUUGGGGUUUUUCUGUUUGUUUUUUUAAAGAUUUUUCAAAGAAGUACUGAAAACUACUUUUCUAAGUUUGUGUCUAAGAUCUUAGUGGUGGACCUGGGAGUCGUGAGCAGCUUCCAGAAACGAGGCGUCAACAGGCAGCACCUGGAGCCGGAGCAACGCCGACCGUGGUCUCAGGAGGAUGGUGGAGGUCUCGCUUCAGGGCCUUCACGCUGAGGGCAGCAACCAGCCCAGAGGCCCAAGUCUGCCUCCGAGGACUGAGGAGAUCGGCUGCCCCGCGCCGCCCGCCAUGGACUGGCCGGGCCCUGGCCGCCGCUCGGAAGGUGCUCAGCCCACUGCACCCUCAGCCAGGGCAGGUGCCGAUGCCGGGCCAGUGGGUUUAUCCCUUAGGAAGUGGUGGAAGGUGGCCGCCAGAGGGCUGGCCCCAUCCCCGCAGGCACCAGUCCUGUGCUGGCCACGUGCUCGCGCCUGGCAGCCCAGCGCCUGCUGGCCCGGCUUGCCAACUGAGGGUUUGUGCUGGGGCGGCUCUGCCGAGGGGCCCGGAGCAGUCGCGCCUCUGGACAGACGCAGGGCAGAGGUGCAGAGGCAGCGAGGGUGAGAGCUGCUCCCUGCACGGGGUCCUCUUCCCCAGGCCCCGGCCCCGGCCUCCCCUUCGUGCACAGGGACGCGCCGGUCGCCUGCUAUGGGCAAGGACGCUGCCAUCCGCAGGCUUGUGGUUCCCUUUCGAAGGCCGCCGGAGGCAGCCCGGCUAGGCCCCACCGUUCCCGCCCGCUUUGCCUCCGCUUGUACCCUUGCUUUGCCCUCCACCUUCCCGGCGGCAGUCACCCUUUCACCAGUCGACAAGCAUCCGUACCAAGGCAACGUAACUUGGUUUUUGGUCAAUUUGUUUUAAGCUCUUUUGUCACCAAUAAAAUCUUAAUAAACAGUUCCUGCCUUUCCAUGAGGCUGGCAUGACUGUGUGGAGAGCGAGGGCAUGGGUGGGCCGGCGGGUGGAGCGGAGUGGGGACGGGCAGGAGCAGGGGAUGCUGCCUCGGCAGGCACCGCAGACCGCUGAGGCCCGGGCCCUCCCCGCGCCAGG